rnacentral:rRNA from 1 species
ACGCUCGACACCUACGGGAGCAGCAGUAGGGAAUCUUCCACAAUGGACGCAAGUCUGAUGGAGCAACGCCGCGUGAGUGAAGAAGGUUUUCGGAUCGUAAAGCUCUGUUGUUGGUGAAGAAGGAUAGAGGUAGUAACUGGCCUUUAUUUGACGGUAAUCAACCAGAAAGUCACGGCUAACUACGUGCCUGCAGCCGCGGUAAUCUGAGCGGGCUGGCAAGGC